GACGAACGCUGGCGGCGUGCCUAAUACAUGCAAGUAGAACGCUGAAGCGAGGAGCUUGCUCUUCUUGGAUGAGUUGCGAACGGGUGAGUAACGCGUAGGUAACCUGCCUUGUAGCGGGGGAUAACUAUUGGAAACGAUAGCUAAUACCGCAUAACAAUGGAUGACACAUGUCAUUUAUUUGAAAGGGGCAAUUGCUCCACUACAAGAUGGACCUGCGUUGUAUUAGCUAGUAGGUGAGGUAACGGCUCACCUAGGCGACGAUACAUAGCCGACCUGAGAGGGUGAUCGGCCACACUGGGACUGGGACACGGCCCAGACUCCUACGGGAGGCAGCAGUAGGGAAUCUUCGGCAAUGGGGGCAACCCUGACCGAGCAACGCCGCGUGAGUGAAGAAGGUUUUCGGAUCGUAAAGCUCUGUUGUAAGUCAAGAACGAGUGUGAGAGUGGAAAGUUCACACUGUGACGGUAGCUUACCAGAAAGGGACGGCUAACUACGUG
rnacentral:rRNA from 1 species